CACAAAAGUCAUCUAAACAAUCACAUUUAUGUUGAUAAUGUAAAUAUAAAUCAUUUGUUGUACAUAUCAUUUAUUUAAAAAAGAAACACACUUGUCAAGGUAAUACCAGCAUGUAAACCCAGUGUAAUCGGUUACUAGUUACUGCUUUGCUUAUCUUCUGUUGGAAAGGUUUUUGGGAAUAUAUUAAGUCUAACUGCCAAAACAUUUGUUCAUGAUUUCAGUGUGCAAUAUGUUAAUACAGAAGGGCAUAUGGUAUAUGUUUACGUUAUAUAGCUCUAUCUGUACUAGCAUCUCACAAGUUAGUAAUGGGUCAUGCGAGUUUUUAAACUGUCAUCACACAAUAAGACAAAUUUUGGAGAUUACUUGUUUUUACAAGUACAUGCAAAUUUAAUAGAAAUCAGCUGUUCUUUUAAAAUUUGGUUCAUAAGAAAUCAUAAUCAAAAGUGGUUUUAAAGUGUUCCUACCAACAGAAAAGUUUCAAUGUUCUACUUAAUUUUGUUACCAGUCACAUAUCAUGUAUUUAAUUAGGUAUAUGGGUUAUAAACAAAAUUAGUCUCAUAUCAUGGGUUAAGCUAACAAGUUUAUGUUAAAAGUAUUGUCAUUUAACCAUUUGUAGUUUUAAACAUAUUUUAUUGCCAUAAGGAUACAUACAGCAAAGGAAUUGGGCACAAGCUACAUUACAUUAUGGAAGCCCUUUCCCAGUCGAUAUCACAUGCUCUGUUAGUUUGUUUGAGAAAACGCACGCACGAGUUGAAUUGUCGCGGAGUAUAAGCAGGUUCUCUGUAGAGCUAAUUGAGAUGGUUUGCUAAAUAGAACAUUUUAUUGUAGCUAUAGAAAUAUUUUUGAUAUUGUUAUAUUGUCUGUUGUAGAUGUGUGAUAAUGUAAUUCUACUAGUAUGUGCAUAUACGCAACUGUCUUUGUGUGGAAAUUUGUUUGUAGUAUUAAAUAUGUAUAAGAUGGAUUAUAUUUUGUACAUAUUUGCUCUAAUCAGUCCUGAUUUCACACAUGUGGGGUAAAACUUGACAAUGAAGAAAACUGUAAAUAUUGGAAACUCUUUCUCUGUUGAUUCCUCUUUGGAAUCAGAUGAUCUGAAGAAAAUGUCUCCUGGGUAAUUCAGUGGGAAUUUUAGAAAAUGUUUCUUUAAGUUAUACAUUCAUAUGAAAAUAGUUUAUCAGAUGAAAUUGUUUUUGUUAAUUAUCUGUCAGAAAGAAGAAAAAUGGAUUACCUGGUACAUUUGAAUUCAAUACAAAAUAGUAUCAACUUAAUUUGUCAUUUUGGUUUUCCUGACUUAUUUUCUCUCCAGUAGGAAACUUCCUGAUAUACAGGUACCUGUGUUCCUGUUAACACUGCCAUGAUGUAUCCAGUUAUACAGGUCCAUUUACACCUUGUUUAUGUAAUAGGACAGUAAGUACAUUACUGCUAUUAUGUGGGGCCAUCUAUGAUCAAAUUCAGGUUUAUUCAAAUAUGGUUAUUUCUUUGUUCAAAAUGUGUGAUUUCACAUUCCAGAUGUAGGAAUGAAAGGUAUCUUACAUUUACCAAACUUCUACCAUGUUUCUUACAUUGACAUAUUUACAGCAUGAUGGUAACAUCGUAAAGGUUAGGGGCAGUCACUUUGGAAUCAGUAUUUCAUGUUACAUAUUUGUGUGAAAAUUGUAUUAAUAGUUUAUAAGAUGAAACAGCUUCUUUUUUCAAAGUCUGCCUUUUCACCAUCAGCAUUGUGAGAAUUGUUGUACAUGUAUUUUAACGGAAAGUUGUCAUUUAUGGAUAUGUAUUGGCGACGGUUUAUACUUCUAUAACACUGCUGUUCAUUAAUAAUUCUAGUCCUAUUUUCCCCCCCGUCAUCUAAUUUCAUUUUUAACCUUCAUUGUGCUUCAUGUUGUGAUAAUUCUGUUCAGUUAUAAUCAUAACACACCCGUAUUUCAUCGUCAUUUCCAAUAGCUGUAAGAACACAUUAUUUUGCUGAUAUUUGGGGAUAGUUGACAGAUUUUUUAAUACCAUUGAUAAUUUUAUUUAGUUCAUGUUUGAGAAUUUUUCAACAGACUGGUUUCCCCGACUGUAUUGUUAUGAUUUACUAGUUAUUUCAUUGGCUCCCUUGAAAAAAAAAAAUGUUAGUGAUGUUAUCAAGUCAUGGCUUAAAAAGUACAUAAAUUUACACAUUGUUUUACAGUCACAAAAUGAUGUAAACAUACAUGCAUUGUUGCACAGGUAUAAUGUUUGUGAGGUCAGAAAACAGUACAAUGGCAUUGUCUCGGAUGUACUCGACACUUGAUCGUGUGAUUGUCAUUAUCUUUGUGCCAAUGUUGUAUUGAAUGCACUAGUAUAUGUAAUCAUUAAAUAUUAAAUGACUAUUGUACAGUUAA